AACGGGUGAAGUAACACGUGAACGUAACCUCGCCCCAGACUCGUGGGAUAAACUAGGUUAGGAAAACAGCUGACUAAGUACCGGAUACGAGACGGAGAGGCAUCUCUACCGUCGUAGGUAAAGUUUUUCGGUCUGGGAUGGACUCGCGGCCUAUCAGCUAGUUGGUGAGGUAAUGGCUCACCAAGGCGACGACGGGUAGCCGGCCUGAGAGGGCGACCGGCCACACUGGGACUGAGACACGGCCCAGACUCCUACGGGAGGCAGCAGUGGGGAAUAUUGCACAAUGGGCGAAAGCCUGAUGCAGCGACGCCGCGUGAGGGAUGACGGCCUUCGGGUUGUAAACCUCUUUCAGCAGGGAAGAAGCGAAAGUGACGGUACCUGCAGAAGAAGCACCGGCUAACUACGUG
rnacentral:rRNA from 1 species